GGACUACCAGGGUAUCUAAUCCUGUUUGCUCCCCUAGCUUUCGCAGAUCAGCGUCAGUGGUGGCCCAGAAGCCUGCUUUCGCCAUAGGUGUUCCUCCCGAUCUCUACGCAUUUCACCGCUACACCGGGAAUUCCAGCUUCCUCUGCCACACUCUAGCCAGGCAGUUUCCCUUGACCUCUCCCAGUUGAGCCAGGAGCUUUCACAAGAGACUUACCCAACCGCCUACCCGCGCUUUACGCCUAGUGAUUCCGAGUAACGCUUGCCACCUACGUAUUACCGCGGCUGCUGGCAC
rnacentral:rRNA from 1 species